AAAAGUUUCAAGCUCCAUUGCUCAUUCUGGACGGCAGAGAUAGACGGCGUCGACGGCGCCACGGCAACAAAACAAAAGGCAGCCAGCGAAAUUUGCAUGCAGCGGCUGGCAAUAAAGAAGAAGCAUGCACCCGGCGACACCUUUGAUCCGGGCCAUAUGGACUACCUUGCAGCUCGGAGGAAAAUAUCACUCACCUAAAUAUGGGCCCGUGACAAGCCCGGCGGAAAGGGCCCUGGAUGGGGGCUGUUUGGCGAACGCACAACCCGCUGGAUCACCAGGCCCUGGCUAUAAUCUUGUCGUUGGAGAACUGGGGAGGCAGGAGAUGUUGCUCAGCCACUGCUGUGCUAAUAGUUAUUAAUGCACAUGGUGUCAGCACCAAACAAGUCAGUCGU
ensembl:lncRNA